CUUUGGGUGCUGACGGUGGGGGU
rnacentral:piRNA from 1 species